AUAUUGGGUCAGUUGAUAAAUGGCUCUGUUUUGGUGAUUGGGAAAUAGAGGGCGGAGGGAUAUGAGAAGGAGAAUUCAAUAGAGAUUCAGGCCCAAUAAUCACCACGGGACUUUCCUCUGGCAUAAAAAAUCGUGAAGGUUGAAGCAAGAGAAACCGGUGCUGGGAAGGGAAUAAUUUCUCAUCAAACACCACAUUGCGAGAAAGGUACACACAGAUUUGUAAAAAUAACUGAGUGGAUAAUUUGUAUAUUAAUGUUCCGGCCUCGUCCUCUCUAAUGGCUUCGCAGAUUUGCUUCCCUCUCUGGAACCACAAUUUCUUGAAACACAACUAUGCUCCAACAUUCUCUUCUCCCAGAACCCUCUUCUCAGUUUCCUUGCCCAAAGCCUCCUUAUCAUCAUCAACUCAACAGCACCACCCAAAACGCAUUUGUAAUGACCCUCACAAAGAUGCACUUGUGUCACAUUGUUUGAGCAAGAGGAAGCUCGGCCUCUCAAUUCUUGCAGUGUUUUCGUCUUCUGGGCUUCUGCCAAACAUGACAAAGGCCAUUUUUGCUGGCGAAUUGGAGCUUGAAAGGUAUACAGAUCCCAUGGAGGGUUUCACUCUGCUCAGACCCUCUUCUUGGACCAAGGUUGAUAAAGCGGGGGCAAGUGUUCUGUUUGAGGAGGCAAAUAAAGGAAGUAAUAGUGUAGGGGUUGUGGUUAACCCGGUUCGUCUUACAAGCCUCGGAGAGUUUGGGAGUCCUCAAUUUGUAGCUGAUAAGCUUAUACAAGCCGAAAGGGGCAAGGAAAGUACAAAUGAUGCUGAGGUGAUCACAGUUGCGGAGAGAUCGGGCCAGGGAGGCUUACAAGUGUAUGAGUUUGAGUACAAGGUUUACAGCACAAGGGGAGGGAUGAAAAGGAUCUUUUCAGCUGCAUUUGUGGCGUCGAAGAAGCUCUACCUCCUAAAUAUUGCUCACUCAGACAAACCAGAGAAUCCUCUUGACAUCCGCACAAGAAUGACGUUGGAGCAAGUGCUUCAUUCCUUUGAUGCGGCACCAGUGACGUAACAUUAGAGCUGAUUCGUAUGUUAUGGUGACAUCUUGUUUAUGCCUUAGCUAGAGUCUUCAAAAGCUAAGAAUGGAAGUGGCCUUUGCUAGCUGAUGCAUUGUAAAUGGCAGAGAAUCAUUCUUUGACAUUGAACAAGAAUAGAAUCAUCCUUUCAGGACAUGGAGAAGAGUAUGACGGGUAUCACCAAAUCUCUGAUUUUACAUGUUGUUAAUAUGAAUUUCGGCAAAUAGCCUUGGGUUGUAAAGUGAUAGAGUUGUACUAUUUUUGUCUACCGGUAAUUAUUUGACUAAGAUUUCUUAAGCAAAAAUGCCUCGAGGGUUUUUGCA